GGUCAUGAGUGCCAGCGACAAGCCCUAGCUAGCUGGUCGGCAACCCUCCAACCGCGGUGGGGUGCCCUAGGUGAGGACCUGGUUCGCCGCGAGGUGCGGCGGGCAAGCGCGGACU
rnacentral:ncRNA from 2 species